rnacentral:rRNA from 1 species
CCUACGGGUGGCAGCAGUAGGGAAUCUUCCACAAUGGACGAAAGUCUGAUGGAGCAACGCCGCGUGAGUGAAGAAGGGUUUCGGCUCGUAAAGCUCUGUUGGUAGUGAAGAAAGAUAGAGGUAGUAACUGGCCUUUAUUUGACGUUAAUUACUUAGAAAGUCACGGCUAACUACGUGCCAGCAGCCGCGGUAAUACGUAGGUGGCAAGCGUUGUCCGGCUUUCUUGGGCGUACAGCUAGUGCAGGCAGUUCAAUAAGUCUGAUGUGCACGCCUUCGGCUCAACCGGAGAAUUGCAUCAGAAACUGUUGAAGUUGAGUGCAGAAGAGGAGAGUGGAACUCCAUGUGUAGCGGUGGAAUGCGUAGAUAUAUGGAAGAACACCAGUGGCGAAGGCGGCUCUCUGGGCUGCAACUGACGCUGAGGCUCGAAAGCAUGGGUAGCGAACAGGAUUAGAUACCCUUGUAGUC